rnacentral:rRNA from 1 species
CGAGUGAAGAGGGAAGAGCCCAGCACUGAAUCCCUUGCCGAUGCGGCAACGGGAGCUGUAGUGUGUGGGACGGUCUUUGAGGUCCGUGCACGGUGAUUCCAAGUCCGUUUGAACACGAGCUGUCAAUCGCGUCCGCUUCUGUGAUGAGGCGGGCCUGACCAGAGAGGGUGUGAGACCCGUGGGAAUCACUAGCCAGUGCCGGCGCUUUGACCUGUCCCUAGAGUCGGGUUGUUUGGGAAUGCAGUCCAAAGCGGGUGGUAAACUCCAUCCAAGGCUAAACAUGCUCGCGAGUCCGAUAGCGGACCAAGUACCGCGAGGGAAAGUUGAAAAGAACUUUGAAGAGAGAGUUCAAGAGUACGUGAAAGCGCUGAGAGGUAAACGGAUGGGAUCACAAAGAUCUCUGGAAAUUCAGUUCUCGUUUCCGUCGCUCGUCANGUCCGUGUUUGUCCCGGUGGCGUCUGCACUCGCGUGUUGGGCGNUACCUUGGGGUGGCCGGCUUGGUGUGUGGCGGUUCAGCAGAGAGUGCACUUUUCCAUGAGAGCAAGCCGCGACGGGUUCUUCACCUGUUGUGAAGCGUCGUGCAUAGGGCCCUCGCAGUCGCACCGUGCGCGGCUCCUCGCCCCCCUGCGGGCUGUGUUGAGUUGUGCUGCGGAGGUGGCUCGGGUACUGGAUAUGGUGGCGUUCUUGUCCGCCAGGAGAAGGACCGAGGUGGUAUCGCGCCGUACGCCCGCNUUAAAGGCUCGCUCCGGCUGCCGUCCACGCUUCGUACUGUACCCCAGUGUGUCGU